rnacentral:rRNA from 1 species
CAGUCGCCGCGGUAAUACAGAGGGUACAAGCGUUAAUCGGAAUUACUGGGCGUAAAGCGCGCGUAGGUGGUUUGUUAAGUUGGAUGUGAAAGCCCCGGGCUCAACCUGGGAACUGCAUCCAAAACUGGCAAGCUAGAGUACGGUAGAGGGUGGUGGAAUUUCCUGUGUAGCGGUGAAAUGCGUAGAUAUAGGAAGGAACACCAGUGGCGAAGGCGACCACCUGGACUGAUACUGACACUGAGGUGCGAAAGCGUGGGGAGCAAACAGGAUUAGAUACCCGUGUAGUCCCUGUCUCUUAUAC